rnacentral:rRNA from 1 species
UCGGGAAUUUUGGACAAUGGGGGCAACCCUGAUCCAGCCAUUCCGCGUGAGUGAAGAAGGCCUUCGGGUUGUAAAGCUCUUUCAGCAGGAACGAAACGGUCGGCUUUAAUAAAGUCGGCUAAUGACGGUACCUGCAGAAGAAGCACCGGCUAACUACGUGCCAGCAGCCGCGGUAAUACGUAGGGUGCGAGCGUUAAUCGGAAUUACUGGGCGUAAAGCGUGCGCAGGCGGCGACAUAAGACAGAUGUGAAAUCCCCGGGCUCAACCUGGGAACUGCGUUUGUGACUGUGUUGCUAGAGUGUAGCAGAGGGGGGUGGAAUUCCACGUGUAGCAGUGAAAUGCGUAGAGAUGUGGAGGAAUACCGAUGGCGAAGGCAAUCCCCUGGACCUGUACUGACGCUCAUGCACGAAAGCGUGGGGANCAAACAGGAUUAGAUACCCCGGUAGUCCCUGAGCGGGCUGGCAAGGCGCAU